rnacentral:rRNA from 1 species
AGCAGCCGCGGUAAUUCCAGCUCCAAUAGCGUAUAUUAAAGUUGUUGCAGUUAAAAAGCUCGUAGUUGAAUUUCGGGAUUGACACAUCGGUCGUGCCUUAAGGGGUGUGAACUGGUGUAGUCAAUUUCUCACCCUCUGGAGAACCGCGAUGUCCUUAAUUGGGUGCCGCGAGGAACCAGGACCUUUACUUUGAAAAAAUUAGAGUGUUUAAAGCAGGCAUUUUUGCUUGAAUACAUUAGCAUGGAAUAAUAAAAUAGGACGGCAUGAUUCUAUUUUGUUGGUUUCUAGGAUCACCGUAAUGAUUAAUAGGGAUAGUUGGGGGCAUUAGUAUUCAAUUGUCAGAGGUGAAAUUCUUGGAUUUAUUGAAGACUAACUACUGCGAAAGCAUUUGCCAAGGAUGUUUUCAUUAAUCAAGAACGAAAGUUAGGGGAUCGAAGACGAUCAGAUACCGUCGUAGUCUUAACCAUAAACUAUGCCGACUAGGAAUCAGACGAUGUUAAUUUUUUAAUGACUCGUUUGGCACCUUACG